UGGAAAGCUCAGUCUGUAGAGCAUGAGACUGUUAAUCUCAGGGUUGUGGGUACAAGUCCCCUGUUGGGCAAAA